CCCUGCUCCCUGCUCCCCCCUCCUCCUCCUCCUCCUCCUCCUCCUCCUCCCGUGGUGCCUCCGAGCUCGGCCGAGGAGGGAAACGCGCUACGAGGGGAAGAAGGGAGGGGAAAGGGGCCGCUCUGCGCCACAGCCCGCCGCCACCGCUCGCAGCCUGUUAGCGCCCCGCAGCCCGGCCCCGCCCGGCCCCGCCUCCGCCAACAUGGAGGAGGGCGGCGGGCAGCGCCCGGGCCCCGCUGAGCGGGAGUACCCAGCUCUGACGUGCCAGGAUGAGGACUGUGCUUCUCAGAACCUUAGAAUGGCCUGGGGUUGAAAAGCACCACGAUGAUCAUCCAGUUCCAAUCCCCUGCUAUGUGCAGGGUCACCAACCAGCCCAGGGCCCCAUUUAACCUGGCCUUAAACACCUCCAAAGAUGGAGCAUCCACAGCCUCCUUGGGCAGCCCAUUCCAUUCAAUGUAUGUACACACAUAUAGCUGCUCCCAUUGCUUUACCAGCAGGCCUGGCCUGGAGGAGUUCAUCAGAACUGUAAUAGUGCCCCAUUGAGUUUCUGGGUCAAAAUACUUGCAAAUCUGGACUCUUGUUUCACUCCUGGUCAGUAUAUUCCUACAGUCAACAUAUGUAAAUGUUUUGCUGUGCAUUUUCAUAUCACUGCGUUGGUUUAUUGCAGAAAAAAUGCUGUUCCACAUCUUGCUGUGUGUUCUCUCUCACAAACCUAACACUCCCUGAGCAGCAGCACAUGCAGAGAUACCAGUAUUGCAGGUUUCUCAGACUUGUAUUUUAGGUUUGCCCGCCUAGUCCUAUGACAAACACUUGCACGGGGAAUGAGUGCAAUGCCACUGCUUGCACUGCAUCCCGCUGUGCAAGUUUCAACCUGUUGUUUAGCUUUGGCUUCUGCAGACAAGAGUCUCGCAGUUGCAAGCAGUCCCUUACGGGUUAGAUCGGGCACAGAUGAAUGGGGUUUAGAACACGUUGGCUGGUGGAAUCGGUCCUCUUAGCUGCAGAGGCUGAGAGCUGCUGCUCCUAAGCCAUUAGGAAGAUUUAUCGCAGCUUUAGCUGUGUUGUAAUCCAGCAAGUGCUUGAUCUUUUACCCGCCCAGACACUGCAGGCAUUUUUAAUUAUCCGAUGGUUAAUUUACGUGGAAGCUUUUGCUGAAAUAAUAAAUUCAUACCUCUGUUGUUAUUCGCUUCUAUAUCAACGUUUAUAUUUGGAUAAACCCGAGUAGCUUCCUACAAAGUGGUUGAUUAAGAGCGAGUUCGAGAACCAUCCAGCACUAAAAGCAUCUGUUUCUGUGCAUGGAAAGGGCAAUUAUAAUGUAUAAUAGGAGAACAUGUGCUGCAGUGCUUCUUUCCUAUGCAGGAAUGAGGAGGUACAAACAUCUCAUCUGAUGAAAGGUACAUUCUGCAAGGCCAGACAAAUGCAGUUCUCACCCCACGCCGGUGUUUUAUGUGUGCAUUAAAUGCUGGCGAGUUGUUUUUACAAAGCACACUGUAAAACUCCUGUUGAACUACCUGUUUACUCAUCUUUCCUGAAUAAUUUCCUUUGAGGGGAGCUGCCACUUAUGGUGAAGCAUAAUGUGGAAAUAGGGUGAGAGGCCGUGCCAGGAGGGGAUGCAUCUCCUCACUCCCAUUCAUGCACCAAGACUUCAACAGAAUCAAGAGCAACCCAUGCAGUUUCCUUUCUUUGCUUUCGAGGCACUCUGAAGCACAUACGGGAUCUUCCAUCUGUGAUUCUUUAUACAUUGCUUGAACUAAACCCUAAAUAAUCCUGUAGAUCCAUCUCCAUUUUAUGGAUUGGAGGGUGAGGCGCAGCCAAAACAAGACUGUAUUGGAAAUUGCAGCCUAAGCUGGUAAGAGAUUCAGAUUUCCAUCACGACUCCUGACAUUUGUCCUUGCCCUUAGAAUGUGUCCCCCCUUGCACUGCCACGGGAUGUUUUAUAAUAGGAGAGAGAGAAAAAAAAAUGCUUUUUAGCAGAACUGUUCUACAUUAAAAAGGAAGCAUUUAUUUUCAUUGAUAUCAGCUCAGUGAAGGCUUGACCCUGGGCUCACAAUGGGAGUUUUAUCCUUGACUUUAAUGGAAGAACAAUCAAGGUCUCAUGAUAUUACAUCCUAAAGAAAAGGAAAAUACCACAGUUUAUAUCAAUAAGACAAAUGCUUCCCAGUUAGUGGAAGCUCCUAUAGUCUUGCAAUACAUGGUUUAUUAGAUUGAUUAGAUGUCUUCAGCUAUUAAUCAGUUUUGGCAGCUGUUUAUGGCUUUGUAUACUUCAAAGUAAUGGAGAUUAUCUGUUAAUUAUCUCACUGCAGCCCAUUCAUUGUUUCCUAAAUAGUGCCAUCACAACAGUAAAUUGCAACAGUAAAACAGUGUCAAUGCAAACUUAUGGAGUUCCCAUUUUUAUGGUGCUUUCAUAAAGUUAACACAGUCCAUUUGAAAAGUCGCUGUUAUUUCAACAUAGUGACCUAUUUGAUGGGGCAGAAGAGAUUUUGAUGAGAAUACAAUAAAGCAUUAAAUGCACCGAGGCUCUGCUUUCACUAAAGUAAAACACAGACUAUUCCCUUAUGGAAUGUAUGUAUGUGUAAGAAUUAACCUAACGCUUCUUUUUGAUCACUUGCAGUUUCACCCAAUGCUGUGAAUCCUGAAGAUUUUGUGCUUUUAAAUGCAAUGUAUUUCUUUCUUUAUGAGAAAUGAGAAGGCAAGACUAGUGUUCAGAGGAUAACAUUGCUAUGCCACAGGAGGGUAAAGGAACACCAAAUAGACCAGAAGAAAGCAGCUGCUUUUUGGAUUAUCACCCGAUCUGGCAGCAGUUCAUAAAGUAGUGGUUGCGUAACAAUCUCCAUCCUAAGUCCCUUUUUCCUUUGCUGUAACUAUACGUCAUUUUAUGAGCUGUCUGUUUCAGGCUGAGUCUCUUUGGAGGAAUUGGAAGUACUGUCAAGCCUGGAAAGAUUCAUGCUUUCAGAAACUGUAACAUAAAUUGUUUCCUUCCUUGCUCUGAAAUACAAUGUUGUUGGAGAAAAGAUAA